rnacentral:rRNA from 1 species
UUCUGGCUCAGGAUGAACGCUAGCGACAGGCUUAACACAUGCAAGUCGAGGGGCAGCAUAGAAGUAGCAAUACUUGGUGGCGACCGGCGCACGGGUGAGUAACGCGUAUGCAACCUACCUAUCAGAGGGGAAUAACCCGGCGAAAGUCGGACUAAUACCGCAUAAACAGGGGCACCGCAUGGUGAUAUUUGUUAAAGAAAUUCGCUGAUAGAUGGGCAUGCGUUCCAUUAGGUAGUUGGUGAGGUAACGGCUCACCAAGCCGACGAUGGAUAGGGGAACUGAGAGGUUGGUCCCCCACACUGGUACUGAGACACGGACCAGACUCCUACGGGAGGCAGCAGUGAGGAAUAUUGGUCAAUGGGCGGGAGCCUGAACCAGCCAAGUCGCGUGAAGGAAGAAGGAUCUAUGGUUCGUAAACUUCUUUUGCAGGGGAAUAAAGUGCAGGACGUGUCCUGUUUUGUAUGUACCCUGAGAAUAAGGAUCGGCUAACUCCGUGCCAGCCGCCGC